rnacentral:rRNA from 1 species
GAUGAACGCUGACAGAAUGCUUAACACAUGCAAGUCUACUUGAUCCUUCGGGUGAUGGUGGCGGACGGGUGAGUAACGCGUAAAGAACUUGCCCUGCAGUCUGGGACAACAUUUGGAAACGAAUGCUAAUACCGGAUAUUAUGUGAGUUUCGCAUGAAAUUCAUAUGAAAGCUAUAUGCGCUGCAGGAGAGCUUUGCGUCCUAUUAGCUAGUUGGUGAGGUAACGGCUCACCAAGGCGAUGAUAGGUAGCCGGCCUGAGAGGGUGAACGGCCACAAGGGGACUGAGACACGGCCCUUACUCCUACGGGAGGCAGCAGUGGGGAAUAUUGGACAAUGGACCAAAAGUCUGAUCCAGCAAUUCUGUGUGCACGAUGAAGUUUUUCGGAAUGUAAAGUGCUUUCAGUUGGGACGAAGUAAGUGACGGUACCAACAGAAGAAGCGACGGCUAAAUACGUGCCAGCAGCCGCGGUAAUACGUAUGUCGCAAGCGUUAUCCGGAUUUAUUGGGCGUAAAGCGCGUCUAGGCGGUUUGGUAAGUCUGAUGUGAAAAUGCGGGGCUCAACUCCGUAUUGCGUUGGAAACUGCCAAACUAGAGUACUGGAGAGGUGGGCGGAACUACAAGUGUAGAGGUGAAAUUCAUAGAUAUUUGUAGGAAUGCCGAUGGGGAAGCCAGCCCACUGGACAGAUACUGACGCUAAAGCGCGAAAGCGUGGGUAGCAAACAGG